rnacentral:lncRNA from 1 species
AGCCCCGCCUUCACACCAUGGGAGGCAGCCCAGAGGCCACCGGCACGGGGUGGUGGCCCCCAGAUCAUACAGCAGUGGACACAGGGGAAGCAAACCUGAGUGAGGACACAAGAGCCUGGUCCAGCUCCGCUGCACAGGAUUGCCACCAGUUCACUGAGAGGAGUCAUUGAAAACAUGGCAUUGAGGACAGAGACUGCCACUUCAGAAUUUUCUACAUCCAACUGCUGAAGCCCCUCGAAGAUAUUUCCCUCAGAGAACCAUAACCAGCUUUGGAGAAGAUGCUUCCACAUAGCUUGUUUCACAGCAUCUGAUCUCUCAUUAAAACCUUGUUGAGGGAGCAUUACUGUCUGAGCAAUGGACAUAGCUCUCACAUGAACCUUUUCAGCUAACACCGGAUAAGCCAGCUUUCUGACAGCCUCUUUCACAUCCUUGGUGCACCCUACAGUUUUUGGCAAAGUCUUUGCUGAUGGUGCAAUACAU